AGAUUGAACGCUGGCGGCAGGCCUAACACAUGCAAGUCGAGCGGUAGAGAGGUGCUUGCAUCUCUUGAGAGCGGCGGACGGGUGAGUAAUGCCUAGGAAUCUGCCUAGUGGUGGGGGAUAACGUUCGGAAACGGACGCUAAUACCGCAUACGUCCUACGGGAGAAAGCGGGGGACCUUCGGGCCUCGCGCCAUUAGAUGAGCCUAGGUCGGAUUAGCUAGUUGGUGAGGUAAUGGCUCACCGAGGCGACGAUCCGUAACUGGUCUGAGAGGAUGACCAGUCACA
rnacentral:rRNA from 1 species